rnacentral:rRNA from 1 species
GAAAAGAAACCAACAGGGAUUGCCCUAGUAACGGCGAGUGAAGCGGCAACAGCUCAAAUUUGAAAUCUGGCCCUAGGCCCGAGUUGUAAUUUGCAGAGGAUGCUUUUGGUGAGGUGCUUACCGAGUCCCCUGGAAUGGGGCGCCACAGAGGGUGAGAGCCCCGUAUGGUUUGACGCCGAGCCUCUGUAAAGCUCCUUCGACGAGUCGAGUAGUUUGGGAAUGCUGCUCUAAAUGGGAGGUAAAUUUCUUCUAAAGCUAAAUACCGGCCAGAGACCGAUAGCGCACAAGUAGAGUGAUCGAAAGAUGAAAAGCACUUUGAAAAGAGGGUUAAAUAGCACGUGAAAUUGUUGAAAGGGAAGCGCUCGUGACCAGACUUGCGCCGGGCGGAUCAUCCAGCGUUCUCGCUGGUGCACUCCGCCCGGCUCAGGCCAGCAUCGGUUUUCGCCGGGGGACAAAAGCUUCGGGAACGUAGCUCCUCUCGGGGAGUGUUAUAGCCCGUUGCAUAAUACCCCGGCGGGGACCGAGGACCGCGCUUCGGCAAGGAUGCUGGCGUAAUGGUCAUCAGCGACCCGUCUUGAAACACGGACCGAGGAGUCAAGCAUUAGUGCGAGUGUUUGGGUGUAAAACCCGCACGCGUAAUGAAAGUGAACGUAGGUGAGAGCUUCGGCGCAUCAUCGACCGAUCCUGAUGUUUUCGGAUGGAUUUGAGUAGGAGCAUUAACGCUUGGACCCGAAAGAUGGUGAACUAUACUUGAAUAGGGUGAAGCCAGAGGAAACUCUGGUGGAGGCUCGCAGCGGUUCUGACGUGCAAAUCGAUCGUCAAAUUUGAGUAUAGGGGCGAAAGACUAAUCGAACCAUCU